UACGGGGGGGGUAAGCGUUGUUCGGAAUUACUGGGCGUAAAGGGCUCGUAGGCGGCCAACUAAGUCAUACGUGAAAUCCCAAGGCUUAACCUUGGAACUGCGUCGGAUACUGGAUGGCUUGAAUUCGGGAGAGGGAUGCAGAAUUCCAGGUGUAGCGGUGAAAUGCGUAGAUAUCUGGAGGAAUACCGGUGGCGAAGGCGGCAUCCUGGACCGACAUUGACGUUGAUGAGCGAAAGCUAGGGGAGCAAACGGG
rnacentral:rRNA from 1 species